ensembl:lncRNA
GUUCACAGUCUAGUAUUUUCUAAAUAACUUUAAAGUACGUAUAUGCUCAUAUAUAUAAACAAGCCAACUCUUGUAGAGAGCAAGCAACAUAUCAAGUGACAGCAAGUUUUGUCAUGAAGAAUUUUGACUGUUCCCAUGAGAAAGCUGGCUAUAUGGACUCCUAUUCUUCAUUAUAAGCUCCAACAAUCUCCUCUGCAAUAUAUUUAAUCAUUUUCAACCAUAUGCCAGAAAUUCAGGAGUUGUGAGCCACAUUCCUUUCAUGCAAGCUUGAAUACAGCCACUGAGGAAUAAACUUUGGGCAUCAGAAGGAAGAAAACAAAAGUGACAGUGCACAAAGCUAAAUAUUGCUGCUUGGAUAAGAAGCAUUUGCUCUGGAUUGUGUUUGGAGUUUUCAGGGACUGGGCGAUACUCCCGGGAGUCUUGCACCCUGGACAACAUUCAGUUAGCUGACCUGGAGUAUGCACUUCCCUAACCUCUGCUCAAUGAACCAAAGACUACUGGCCUGAGGAUGACACUAACAACAUGUGCCUAGCAAUGCAAUUGGAGGUGACGGUAGAAAGCAUGCCAAAUUCUCUGCUUUGACAUUUCAAUACAUCUCAGUGUGACAUCGGCCCACAGCUCUGCUGUCCCAACGCCUCAACACGCAGCUGAUCUCACCGGUGCACUCCCCUCACCUUGUGAACACAGCAUUCUGCCAGCUGAGCCUUCCUUUCAUUUGGACAGAGACGUGCUGGGACAGCAACCAAUUUAAAAUGACUCUUCCUGACUGCAACAGAUGAUGAAAGAUUAAGAGGGAAGCAGGAUGUGCCUGAAAACACCUUGAAAAAUGACACCAGAGCCACCACCAAUGUACACAUUUACUGUGAAAUGACAGCUUGACUCACCCACCUUGCAGCUCUUCUAUGGUUUAAGAAACAUGGAAAGAAAGAGUAAAAUGAGUUCUUCAGCUAUGCAGAACGAAUAUGAAGAGAGACAGUUCCCAUACCUUAUCAUCUGGUUUGAAUCACAGAACCGUAGAAUCAUUAAGGUUGAAAAAGACCACUAGUCCAACUGUUGAUCCCUCCCCACUGUGCCCACAUGUUCCAGAUAGCAUUCUAGAAUUAUUAAGGUCAGAAGAGAUCGCUAAGAUGACCCAGUCCAACCUCAACCCAUCCCCACCAUGCCCACUAACCAUGUCCCCCCAGUGCCACAUCUCCA